GCUACUGAAUCAUUAUGAGUCAUUAAUUUGGUGAUUAUGAUAACAUAAGGGAAAAAAAAUGAUAUUACCUUAUUAUUAGUGUUGUCCAAAACUGGUGCCAGAAGACUCGGUAAGACCAGAGACGCAAACGUUAGUCAUCUUAAUCAGGCGUAAAGGGUGUGUAGGCUGCUUUAAAAGUUUAAAUCUUUUUAAUAGCUCUUUUGCCGUUGUCCUGCCAUUAUUUAUUUUAUUUAUAAAAUAAUAAACAAUAAUGAAUAUAAAGGCAGUACAUUUUUAAUUUUAUUAAUAUUAAUUUAAUUUAAUAAUUAUAAAGGGGACAAAAAAGAUAUCCCGGUUUAAGUAAAAAGAAUAAAAUGAAUUAAAGCUAGAAUCAAAUUGAGGAUAAACCAAAUAAUACUUAGAGUAGGGCCGAUAUCCGCAGAUACUAAGGGGAAUACUAAAGGUGAAAGCUUUUUAUCUACUAUUGAUUGACGCUGAGAAACGAAGGUGAGAACAGGAAAUAGGAUUUGAUACCCAGAUACCUCUCACUGUCAACGAUGAAUGGUGGUUGUUAGUUUUAAUAAAAACUGGUAACGAUGUUAACACGAUAACCAUUCCGCCUUGCGAGUACGGUUGCAAAACUGAAACCAAAAAAAUUAGUCGGUU
rnacentral:rRNA from 1 species